rnacentral:misc_RNA from 1 species
CAAACCUCAAGCUUCUGCUUGGUAUUGGGCGUCGUCCGUCUAGGACGUGCCAGAAACCCGUAGGCGGUGGUGCCCAUCUCCCAGCGUAGUCAAUUCUAUCCGCUUCGGAGCUUUAGGUGCUGCCCGCCAGACAACCUUAAAUCUAUCUAUGGU